rnacentral:rRNA from 1 species
CCUACGGGAGGCAGCAGUGGGGAAUAUUGGACAAUGGGCGCAAGCCUGAUCCAGCCAUGCCGCGUGAGUGAUGAAGGCCUUAGGGUUGUAAAGCUCUUUUAGCAGGGAAGAUAAUGACGGUACCUGCAGAAAAAGCCCCGGCUAACUUCGUGCCAGCAGCCGCGGUAAUA